UUCUAGUAUGACCAUGAUUGUUAGUUAUACAUAAUUUCGCGUCUAGAUUCACUUUCAAUUUCAAAUAAUGUUGAACUCAUUCUACUGUUUUCAAUGAUCAGCAGUUGGUGAUGAAAAUGUAUAUUGACUCAGCACACGCACUUGAUAAGCAAUAUCAUGACAUGUCACAAUAAAAUAAUUCAACUUUCAUAUGUCGAGACAUCAAUCAGGAUUGCCAUUAACUUACUACAUGUUCAUUUUAUGCUUAUUCUUCAUGUUUCUUGGAUUGCCCCAUCAUUUUAGAUAUUUUAAAUUUUCGGUAUGGUAUUUAGUAUGGAAGAAUUGUUAGAGGAAGCAAAUCGAAAGAGAUUUUCUAUUCCCACUUGUUUUAAUUUUGGAGGUGUAGUUUGACUCAACUCUCUAAAUUUUUACGUUAGAGUUGUUUGAACUUUAACUGUUUAACUUUCUGGAUUUUUUUAUUUCCUAUGUCUUUGUUUUUUGGAACAGGGUUUAACUGUUGUAAAUGUAUCAGCGACAACAUUUUCACAGACAUUAGAUUGGCUGCACGGAUAUCUUCUUCAGAGCUGGGAUGAAGGAAUGAAAUAUUAUGGACGCGAUUAAGCAAGCUGCUUAACUUUUUGAGCUCCAAUGUCAGAAGUCGUAUCAAGGCAACGACUAGUGCAAAUGCUUGGGUGGAAUCUUGGAAAAUGGAUCAUCCACACAACAAAUUCACUGCAGACAAAACCAAAGUCUCAAUCUCCUGUUCUGCUGAUUCCCUGUUCCAAUUAGCACCUGCAGCAGCCCCUC